UCAAAGACUAUUAUACUUCUAUAAUCACAAACUUUGCCAAGACUACACUAUAGAAAAAUAUUAAUAAAAACAAACAAUAUUUAAUCUAUUCUCAAUUUGACAACAGACGUCAAGAAUAAAAGUUUGACAAUAAAUAGUACGCAUGCGUGUGUGCGUCAAAUACAUGAUCAUCUGGUAGAGUCGACCGGGUAGGAACGCGGCUCGAUCGCGUAAUGACUUAAUAUGGGCAGCAAAUUUCAUCCCUCUGUCGAGGGUGACACCAUAGUACUCAAACUUCGAGGCUCGCGGUAUGGGCUGGCCAAAGAUUUUAACGGCAGGAAAGGAGCUACCGCGACUAACUCGUGACAAGUAGUGUCUGGAAGGUCUCAAGUUACUUGUCUAUUCGAAGAACGUCAUUCCGAUCUACCGACCAAAAUGUUUAAGUGCUAGCACGUAAUAAAAACACACCACAAGUACGCCUAGUUUCUGAAGAGAUAGGAGAACAAAAAAAUCAGUACUACGGAAUGCCGUGUGUAUUAGAGAAAUGGCCCGGUUCGCAUAUCUACUGAUGAACAGAAGAUCCGAAAACUAAGAUAGUUCGAGUUGAUAUCGAAACAGAAAUCACAUUCGCGAACCAUCCGUCUUCAACUAAGUGUAAAAUCCUCCAUUUGUAGAUUUCCAAACCUUCCAAUGGAUUAAAGUUAUACUAAUUGAGA